rfam:Geitlerinema sp. PCC 7407, complete genome.
AUCUAUUUCUUUCUGAAGCCAGAGACAGCAGGCGCCUUGUGCUUAAUGCCCUGCCGAGGUUUAAACCAGAAAGCGAAUCGAGUCCCUAGCCGCUUGCGGCUAGCCAAGAAACGCUGGAAGUGUGUUUAGACAUCGCCCUGGCCUUAUCGCCAGGGUUUUUUGCUGGCAGU